GUGAAUUUCUAGGUGAAAACACCCUCUUGGCUGACAAGAGAAAAAAACGGCAGGCAGAGAACUGCGGGAAAAGUCAAGACAGAAGCCACAGGUGGUUACUGGCUGAGAACUGGAGAACAACUGGACCUUUCUAAAACCUGGCACCUUACCAAUGGAGAUCCUCCUUUGCCUCACUUUUGGAUUGGGAAGGUUUUCCCUGCGUGAGUCUGUCUUGGAAGUGCUUUUGGCUACUGAUGUAUGUUUCAUAAUUAUAUCUAAUCAGACUGAAGAGAGGAAAUAUGUAUAUCUAAUGAAGAGCCGUUCUCCAACAUGUAGACCAACCAGCAUACAUCCCCAUCCACUAAUGGUGCCCUUCUUCUGGCUUUGAGAACAGCUACAUGAUGAAGUCCAUGCUGAGGACAGAAGAGGACAAUGAUAAUUCCCCUAGUCAUUGAUUCACUGAUCAAGCCAUAUGUUGAGCUUCUGCAAAUUCUGAGACAUCUAAAAAGAAGAAAUUUAUGUUGGUUUCUUGGAGUCUCAAUUGUAUCCUGGUCAG